rnacentral:rRNA from 1 species
UACGGAGGGUGCGAGCGUUGUCCGGAAUCAUUGGGCGUAAAGGGCGCGUAGGCGGCCUGGUAAGUAGGGGGUGAAAUCCUGCGGCUUAACCGCAGGGCUGCCUUCUAAACUGUCAGGCUCGAGCACGGUAGAGGCAGAUGGAAUUCCCGGUGUAGCGGUGGAAUGCGUAGAGAUCGGGAAGAACAUCAGUGGCGAAGGCGGUCUGCUGGGCCGUUGCUGACGCUGAGGCGCGAAAGCCAGGGGAGCGAACGGG